rnacentral:rRNA from 1 species
GACGAACGCUGGCGGCGUGCUUAACACAUGCAAGUCGAACGGAAAGGCCCUGCUUUUGUGGGGUGCUCGAGUGGCGAACGGGUGAGUAACACGUGAGUAACCUGCCCUUGACUUUGUGAUAACUUCAGGAAACUGGGGCUAAUACCGGAUAGGAGCUCCUGCUGCAUGGUGGGGGUUGGAAAGUUUCGGCGGUUGGGGAUGGACUCGCGGCUUAUCAGCUUGUUGGUGGGGUAGUGGCUUACCAAGGCUUUGACGGGUAGCCGGCCUGAGAGGGUGACCGGCCACAUUGGGACUGAGAUACGGACCAGACUCCUACGGGAGGCAGCAGUGGGGAAUAUUGCACAAUGGGCGGAAGCCUGAUGCAGCAACGCCGCGUGCGGGAUGACGGCCUUCGGGUUGUAAACCGCUUUCGACUGUGACGAAGCGUGAGUGACGGUAAUGGGUAAAGAAGCACCGGCUAACUACGUG